GCCUGAAAUGCGGAUCCACGCAGAUCAAAUGCGGAUCGGGCUGAAAUGCGGAUCGGGCUGAAAUGCGGAUCAACGCGGAACGCUCGCGGAUCUCUAUUGAAACUUGACUGAUCUGUCUGAAAGAAUGAUAUCUAUGCAUCAGUAGGGAAUUUUUAUUAGCUCUAUUUGAGUUUUUGAUAAGAACUUCAUCAUUUUAGCAGUUUCAGAACAGUAUCUACUUGAGCUGACCAUAACUUCAAGAUUUAUGUGUGAAUGUGAUUCAGAACAAUAACAUCUUAUAAUGGAUCCUUUAAGAAAUAAUUAUAAUAAAUUCAUAAGUUUUUAAUGACACAGUGAUAUUAUAGCUUUAA
rnacentral:lncRNA from 1 species